GAUCUGGCUCAGGAUGAACGCUAGCUACAGGCUUAACACAUGCAAGUCGCGGGGCAGCAUGAAGUCAGCUUGCUGACUUUGAUGGCGACCGGCGCACGGGUGAGUAACGCGUAUCCAACCUGCCUGUUACCACGGCACAGCCCGUCGAAAGGCGGAUUAAUGCCGUAUGUGGUCCUUUGCGGGCAUCUAAUUAGGACUAAAGGUUCGGCGGUAACGGAUGGGGAUGCGUCCGAUUAG
rnacentral:rRNA from 1 species